CUGCAAAAGAAGUAGGUAGUUUAACCUUCGGGGGGACGCUUACCACUUUGUGGUUCAUGACUGGGGUGAAGUCGUAACAAGGUAGCGCUAGGGGAACCUGGCGCUGGAUCACCUCCUUAAACGAUGAU
rnacentral:rRNA from 1 species